rnacentral:rRNA from 1 species
UACGUAGGUGGCAAGCGUUGUCCGGAUUUACUGGGUGUAAAGGGCGUGUAGCCGGGCUGACAAGUCAGAUGUGAAAUUCCGGGGCUCAACCCCGGACCUGCAUUUGAAACUGUUGGUCUUGAGUAUCGGAGAGGCAGGCGGAAUUCCUAGUGUAGCGGUGAAAUGCGUAGGUAUUAGGAGGAACACCAGUGGCGAAGGCGGCCUGCUGGACGACAACUGACGGUGAGGCGCGAAAGCGUGGGGAGCAAACAGG